CCCCCCCCCAGUCGUCUGGUAGUCGGCAAAUUAUUGUAUCCCAGUCCCCAAAUUGUUUUCCCAGUCGGCAAAACACGAAUUGGAUAGGAAGGGGAAAAGUAAUUUGGGGUAAUUUACGGAAACUAAACGAGUAACGGUACGUCAAGCCAAAAAUGGUGAAAAAUGUAAUGUCGGGAAUUUUUUUAUGUUCCGGCGGAAACUUCCAUUCCCUCCCCCUCCCCCCCCCCCUCCCGAAAAAGGGACUAAGGUCCCCGACAGGGGGCUAAGUUCGUACAGAAUCUUUUCGAUGGCGCCAGAAAUUCUUCGACAAAGGGGCUAAGGUCCCCGAGAGGGGACGAAGUUGGUACAUGCAAAACCUUUUUGGGGGGCAGUAUUUUUCCCCCGAAACAAAGCGGUGUAAGUACAUUUUUGCCGACUCAUAUUAUACUAUUUCUUUUCCCAAAUUUGUUUGCAGGGGGGGGGGGGGAGGAUCUGAACAUACAAAAAAUUUCCCGACAUUACAUAUUCUUUUGCGUUAAACAUACGUUAUUUGUUUAAAAUUUUCCUUCAUGUUUUCGUGAAUCUCUCUAAAUUCUGGCUAUAGUUCUCACUUUUUAAUCAUUGUCCUUUAUCUAUUUUAGUUUCCCUCAAAACACACUGUUUAUAAAACAUAGUCUCUUCCCCGACAAAAUUCUAAUUUACACACAAAAAUAUGGUUCACAUUAAAAAAGUCGGGUUGAAAAAUCGGACGAUUCCCAAUUUGACAAAUCGGCUGUCCAUUUUGUAUAUUUUUUGCUGGAAUCCCGCUGUACGCUGUAACACUAUCCUGUCCUGAAUAAGGUUGGGAAAAUUAAUGAUGCAUGAUGGGAAUGAUCAGGGCUGAAAUUUGAUUUUCGUCAUCUUUCCCAUCGUGCAUCAAUAAGCCCUGUUGACAGCAAUCUGUUUUUGUGUAAAAACGCAUACUUUUGUAUCACUAGUCGUCCACAAAAAUGCGAUAGAAAAUGGAUACCUUCACCAAGAAAGCGGAUCGAGCUUUUCGAAAACGGCUUUGAAAGUGGAGACUUUUAAAAACGGUAGCGUUUUGGAUUAGGGACCGUUCAUUAUUUAUACUCUAGGGUGGGGUGGGAAAAAUUGAGGGGGGUCAUGUAAAGUUCAUCUUUUCCUACGGGGGGGACUUGCUUUUUUGGAGUCUUGUCGGGGGGGGUGUUAAAAAAAGAACUGAAAAUAUUGUAGCACCUGUCUACAUAUAGAACAUUUUAGAUUUAGA